AAGCCAACCCCUGAUGAGUGUAGUCUGCAGAGAAGCCAGCAGGAUCAGGACAAACCAGUUUCACAGCAGGAGAGAAUCUGGUCGGGUCAACAAAGAACUUCCAGCCCUGAGGAUGUCUAUGCAGUCUCAAGAGCAGUUUCUUAAAUUGCGGGCCUCAAAUCUGCAGCUAAGAAUCACCUGGGAGAGUUUAUUAAAAAUGGAGGCCCUACAUUAGAAUAAGUCAAAAGCUAAGGAACUGACUUUGGGGAGCUUGUCUUUUAACACUUCCUAGCUGAUGGAGUUUCACUCUCGUUGCCCAAGCUGAAGUGCAAUGAUGCGAUCUCGGCUUACUGCAACCUCUGCCUCUCGGGUUCAAGAUAUUCUUCUGCCUUAGCCUCCAGAGUAGCUGGGAUUAGGUGCACCACCACACCAAGUUAGUUUUGUAUUUGUUUGUUUGUUUGUUUGUUUGUUUUUGAGACGGAGUUUUGUUCUUGUUGCCCAGGCUGGAGUGCAAUGGCGCGAUCUCCCCUCACUACAACCUCUGCCUCCCGGGUUCAAGAGAUUCUCCUGCCUCAGCCUCCCAAGUAGCUGGGAUUACAGGCAUGCAGCACCACACCCAGCUAAUUUUGUGUUUUUAGUAGAGACGGGGUUUCUCCAUGUUGGUCAGGCUGGUCUCAAACUCCCAACCUCAGGUGAUCCGCCCGCCUCCGCCUCCCAAAGUUCUGGGAUUACAAGCGUGAGCCACCGCGUCCAGCCGACUCUUUCUUUCAUGAAAGAUUUCUCUGUAGGAUGUAAUGCUGUUUCAUAGCAUUUUACCCACAAUAGAACUUCUUUCAAACUUGGCAUCAGUCCUCUCAAGCCCCGCCGCUGCUGUAUCCUCUAAGUUUAUGGAAUAUUCUAAAUUCUUUUUUGUCAUUUCAAUAAUGAUUACAGUGUCUUCACCAUGAGUAAACUCUUUUCUGUUU